AUUGAACGCUGGCGGCAGGCCUAACACAUGCAAGUCGAGCGAGCGGCGGACGGGUGAGUAAUGUCUGGGAAACUGCCUGAUGGAGGGGGAUAACUACUGGAAACGGUAGCUAAUACCGCAUACCAUCAGAUGUGCCCAGAUGGGAUUAGCUAGUUGGUGGGGUACCGGCUAACCAAGGCGACGCUCCCUAGCUGGUCUGAGAGGAUGACCAGCCACACUGGAACUGAGACACGGUCCAGACUCCUACGGGAGGCAGCAUUGGGGAAUAUUGCACAAUGGGCGCAAGCCUGCUGCAGCCAUGCCGCGUGUAUGAAGAAGGCCUUCGGGUUGUAAAGGACUUUCAGCGAGGAGGCGUUACCCGCAGAAGAAGCACCGGCUAACUCCGUGCCAGCAGCCGCGGUAAUUC
rnacentral:rRNA from 1 species